UGGGGAAUAUUGGACAAUGGGCGAAAGCCUGAUCCAGCCAUGCCGCGUGUGUGAAGAAGGUCUUCGGAUUGUAAAGCACUUUAAGUUGGGAGGAAGGGUUGUAGAUUAAUACUCUGCAAUUUUGACGUUACCGACAGAAUAAGCACCGGCUAACUCUGUGCCAGCAGCCGCGGUAAUACAGAGGGUGCAAGCGUUAAUCGGAAUUACUGGGCGUAAAGCGCGCGUAGGUGGUUUGUUAAGUUGGAUGUGAAAUCCCCGGGCUCAACCUGGGAACUGCAUCCAAAACUGGCAAGCUAGAGUACGGUAGAGGGUGGUGGAAUUUCCUGUGUAGCGGUGAAAUGCGUAGAUAUAGGAAGGAACACCAGUGGCGAAGGCGACCACCUGGACUGAUACUGACACUGAGGUGCGAAAGCGUGGGGAGCAAACAGGAUUAGAUACCCCCGUAGUCCCUGAGCGGGCUGGCAAGGCGCAU
rnacentral:rRNA from 1 species